rnacentral:tRNA from 1 species
GCUACGUUGGUUUGGUGGUCAGCGCGUCUGACUUGACUCAGUAGCUCAGUAGGCCCCGGGUUCGAAUCCCGGUAGUGGCG